rnacentral:rRNA from 1 species
UACGGGGGGAGCAAGCGUUGUUCGGAUUUACUGGGCGUAAAGGGCGCGUAGGCGGUCGUGACAAGUCACUUGUGAAAUCUCCGGGCUUAACUCGGAACGGUCAAGUGAUACUGUCGGACUAGAGUACAGAAGGGGCAACUGGAAUUCUCGGUGUAGCGGUGAAAUGCGUAGAUAUCAGGAGGAACACCGAUGGCGAAGGCAGGAUCUCUGGGCAUUAACUGACGCUGGAGGAAGCGAAAGCUAGGGGAGCAAACGGG